UACGUAGGGUGCAAGCGUUGUCCGGAAUUAUUGGGCGUAAAGAGCUCGUAGGCGGUCUGUCGCGUCGGCUGUGAAAACCCGGAGCUCAACUCCGGGCCUGCAGUCGAUACGGGCAAACUGGAGUGUUGCAGGGGGAGACUGGAAUUCCUGGUGUAGCGGUGAAAUGCGCAGAUAUCAGGAGGAACACCGGUGGCGAAGGCGGGUCUCUGGGACGGUACUGACGCUGAGACGCGAAAGCGUGGGGAG
rnacentral:rRNA from 1 species